GGCGGACGGGUGCGUAACGCGUAGGAAUCUGCCUAUUAGUGGGGGACAACGUGGUGAAAACCACGCUAAUACCGCAUACGCACUACGGUGGAAAGUGGGGGACCUUCGGGCCUCACGCUAUUGGAUGAGCCUAAGUCGGAUUAGCUUGUUGGUGAGGUAAAAGCUCACCAAGGCGACGAUCCGUAGCUGGUCUGAGAGGACGAUCAGCCACACUGGGACUGAGACACGGCCCAG
rnacentral:rRNA from 1 species